AUUUUCGGUUUUUAUAAAUAACCGAAGUUAAAAGUAUUUAAUGUUUGCUCUUUUGUUUAAGAAAAGCUUUGUCUUCGGUAAUUAAAAAUGACCGAAAUCAAAGGCUUCCACGCGGAGAACUUUGUUUUUUGUUAUUAGCUAAUAACCGAAGACUAAAGUCUUCUUAUUCCCACAAAUAAAGCAAAGGGACCGACCUUUCAAUUUACCCCCAAAUUGUCGAAACCCUUAACCCCACGAUCCUCAAACCCUCAACUUCUCAAACUCUUCGCUUACAGCUACCCCGACGACAAGGACGAGGACGAGGACGGCGGUGGACUGACUGAAGCUCUCUGCUCCGACUAACCUCCUCAAUGGAUUUUCUUCUGGUAUUGACUUGUUUUCGUUUAAAGAUCUUCUUCCAUUAGUCUCUUCUUCACAUCACCUACAAAUAAUGUUCAAAAAUUGGCAUUGGUUCAUUGGGUGCAUUUGUACAGUUUGGUGGGUUUUGUGGUUCUUGUACAAUGCCAUGCCAGCUUCAUUUCCCCAGUACGUGAAAGAGGCCAUAACCGGUCCUUUGCCGGACCCGCCUGGUAUUAAAUUGAAGAAGGAAGGAGUCCCUGUGGUGUUUGUGCCGGGGAUUCUGACUAGUGGGCUUGAAUUGUGGGAGGGUCAUCAUUGUGCAGAUGGGCUUUUUCAGAAAUGUCUUUGGGUGGUACCUUUGGAGAAGUCUAUAAGAGGUAAAUUUUAAUUGUCCAUAAUUUCCUUUGAUCAAUUUAUGGAAUUUAUUAUUUUUGCUUUAUACUGUAAUUUC